GUUCUCUUGAGAAAUCAAUCUAGGAAGAGGAAGAGGAUAAAUUCGAAAGUUUGCAUGUAUAAUCCAUGAGUUUCAAAGUGUUCAUCACCUUCAAAUCAUCGUUAUAGGAUCAUGUCAAGGUGGGGGAAAACAUGGAAGGCUAACGGAAAGGAUACGAGGAAACAUGUAUGAAAUGGGGACUCGAGGUUCCAUGGAUAUUAUUAUCAUCACGAAGAUUUAGCGGGUGAAGAUCGAGAUAAGGAGCUCAGAUUGUACGGAAGGGUAGUCAUGCAAAUAGUAUUCACAUGUUAUUAUUGUCACGCCAAUUAAGUAUGGAUGAUGUAAUUGUCCUUAAGAGUGACGUCUUACAUGCUUUUUAAGUAUGCUAAGUUGUUUUUAAGAAGGGAAUUUUAU